rnacentral:tRNA from 1 species
CGGAGUAUAGCGCAGUUGGUAGCGCAACUGCUUUGGGAGCAGUGGGUCGCUGGUUCGAAUCCAGCUACUCCGACCA